rnacentral:rRNA from 1 species
CCUACGGGUGGCUGCAGUGGGGAAUUUUACGCAAUGGGCGAAAGCCUGACGUAGCGACACCGCGUGAGCGAAGAAGCCCUUUGGGGUGUAAAGCUCUGUCGGCUGGAACGAAAAAAAUGACGGUACCAGCAAAGGAAGCAUCGGCUAACUACGUGCCAGCAGCCGCGGUAAGACGUAGGAUGCAAGCGUUGUCCGGAUUCAUUGGGCGUAAAGAGUUCGUAGGCGGUUUGUUAAGUCUGAUGUUAAAGAUCGGGGCCCAACCCUGAGAGUGCAUUGGAUACUGGCAGACUGGAGUGCAGUAGAGGCAAGUGGAAUUCCCAGUGUAGCGGUGAAAUGCGUAGAUAUUGGGAAGAACACCGGUGGCGCAGGCGACUUGCUGGGCUGUAACUGACGCUGAGGAACGAAAGCUAGGGGAGCAAAUGGGAUUAGAUACCCUUGUAGUC